GUUUGCUCUCUGCUUAUUGCUUCCAGUUCAACAUGUAAGCUCUCAGCUGGGCCCUCCAAUCGCCAUGCUACUGCUGGCUGCCAUAUUGUUUCUGCCAGAAUGGACGUGAAACCUCUGCAACUAUAAUCCCAAAGAAACUCUUUCUCCAGUAAGGUGCCUUGUUCAUGGUGUUUUCAUCAAAGCAAUGGGAAAGUAACUAAUACAGUGUGUGUGUGUGUGUGUGUGUGUGUGUGUGUAUGAAACUAGAAUGAGGGCCAUGAGAGGGGAGACAGUCAUCUCCAGAAGGGAGAAGGCAAUGACAUGAAAGCAGACAGGUAAGAGGGGAACCCAUCAGAGGAAAGCAGGAUAUAUGGGGAAGACUGUGGGGAAAGAGAACAUACAAAAAUAAAGUAUAAGGACAUAUAUGUAUGAAAAUAGGAUCAUGAAACCUAUUGGUAUGCACGAUAAUCUAAAAAAUUAAUUUAAAAAAUUGGAAGCAAGCAAAGCAAAAGAAUAAGCUUGUCGAGUUGACUUCCGGGCUAGAACGAGAGAGGAAAUGAGCCAGACGUUGGGCUGAAGGUGAGCCAGGACCAUGACGGAGGGUGUGGAAGUCACUUAAGGAUCCUAUAGCUCAUGCAGUAGGAAAAAGAACGAGAAGAGAGCGAGGGGGAGAACAAAGUGGGAGGUGAGGAAAAUGGAAAGGGAGAAGCUGUGAAGAAGAAUGAGGUUAGAAGAGGAGGAGAACAUGAAGCACUCGCUGGGGGGAGGCAGCCUGGCUGGCUUGGAGAUCCCCCAUGGUCAUGCGCCCUUCACAUUGCUGUGGACUCUUACUGACAUCCCCCCCCCGGCCGCCACCUCUCCCAUUACUCCUACCUGCAGUGCACUACUGUGGGCCCUGCCCCUGGGCUUCUGUUGAUGUAGUCUCUGACCGUUCUCACAAACUGAAUCAGGGACUGGGUGGUCUCUGGGACUCCAUGGUCUGGCCAUACUGUGUAGUGAAAGUGACGGAUGAGUCUGUGUGCAUCCAGCUGUUCCUCCUGCAGGAGUGGAGAGCAGACGAUGAGAGGGACGGCUGAGGGGAACACAAAGACUCUGACAACUGUGCCCACGUGAGUUUCCCUGGUCUGAAACUACAGUCUACGAGUCAGGAAAAGCAGGAUUCAGAGUCUCUGCUAUUGAUGUGGGAUUUCCCCCUAUAUGCUGUGAAUACCAUUGGUGAAUAAAGAAACUGCCUAGGCCUGUUGAUAGGCCAGAAUUUAGGUAGGAGAGAAAACUAAACUGAAUGCUGGGAGAAAAAAGGCAGAGUCAAGAGAGAAGCCAUGGAGCUGCUGGGGACAGAUGCUGGAAACUUUACCAGAUGAAGAAGGCGACGAGGGCCACCAGCAUGCCAAUUAGAAACAGGCCAGCGCUCACACCUUCAAUAACUCCAAACAAGGGCUCUGCGAUCCCACUUAUCUCCCCAUCCCCUUGCCUCCUCCCUCUGCCCUUGCAACCUCCCCUCUUAAGAUAAAACAAAGCCUAAAAAAAGACCAUCAAAAACCAAACCAACCAACCAAACAAGAAGAAGAAGAGGAGGAGGAGGAG